AGCAAAAAUCAGUGUUUGAGCACUUGACUUUUAAUCAAGUUGUCCGGGGUUCGAAUCCCCGAUGUC
rnacentral:tRNA from 1 species